rnacentral:lncRNA from 1 species
AUCCAUGAGGGCUUAAUAACCUUAUUGUUAAUCAGUCUUCCUCCAUAGGAGUCUCAUAGUUCCAAGGAUGAAUGCACAGUAUAUUACCGAUUUACCGGGUACCUCAGCAUCUCUGGUUUAUCACUUAUUGCUUUGGCCACCUCCCUAUCCAGCAGCCAUGAAGCAAACCCAAAAGGUAGAUUUCUAGAAUGAAGGAGUGUGUCAUAAUCAAGGCAGACAUUUGCCUUAGUUGGAGGUAUCUGACUGCUUUAUAAAUAUUAGAGAAAUACUUCGGAUCUGGUUAGGAGAGGAGGCCGCUUAGCUGGGAGCUGUGCCCAUUUUCUUCUCAUUGCACAGCAGGAUGUCGGAGAUGAGAGGACCUGUUCCCAUAUCCUGCAGCUGCUUUGGGGAAACCAAGGCCCUAAGAAACCACAGUUCCUAGUCCAAGAAUCCAUAGAAGGAGGGAGCUAUUGACAGAGUUGGAUUUUAUGGAUUCUAAGUUGAGUCCUCUGGCCACUAGCAGUACUAAAAAUAGAUUAGAAGGGUCUCUUCUAUUUACCAUGUUUUAUUUACUUAAUCAGUUUUAAAAUAUGGAAACAUGUUUUAGUGAGUUUGAGAUCUAGAUAUUUCUCUUGGAUUGAAGCAAAAAAUAAAAUCUGAAAGAAUAGGAUUGAACUAUUUGUUCUUCUGAACACCUCACCUUUCAUGAUGUAGUAAAUUACCCUGGGUUUCUUGGCAGAACUUUUGACAGCUGUUGCUUUGAGUGAAUUCCAUUCCUGUAUUCCUUAUGGGAGUUUGUUUUUAAAAUAGACUACUGUGAUUGAAAUGAACUCAAUAUGUAGUAAGUUAUAGUUUUCU